AGUGAACGCUGGCGGUAGGCCUAACACAUGCAAGUCGAACGGCAGCACAGUAAGAGCUUGCUCUUACGGGUGGCGAGUGGCGGACGGGUGAGGAAUACAUCGGAAUCUACUUUUUCGUGGGGGAUAACGUAGGGAAACUUACGCUAAUACCGCAUACGACCUACGAGUGAAAGCAGGGGAUCUUCGGACCUUGCGCGAUUGAAUGAGCCGAUGUCGGAUUAGCUAGUUGGCGGGGUAAAGGCCCACCAAGGCGACGAUCCGUAGCUGGUCUGAGAGGAUGAUCAGCCACACUGGAACUGAGACACGGUCCAGACUCCUACGGGAGGCAGCAGUGGGGAAUAUUGGACAGUGGGCGCAAGCCUGAUCCAGCCAUACCGCGUGGGUGAAGAAGGCCUUCGGGUUGUAAAGCCCUUUUGUUGGGAAAGAAAAGCAGCAGGUUAAUACCCCGCUGUUCUGACGGUACCCAAAGAAUAAGCACCGGCUAACUUCGU
rnacentral:rRNA from 1 species